rnacentral:misc_RNA from 1 species
AUUAACCAAACGUUAACCUCUGAAGGCUACACAUAAGGGGAGGGGGCUUGGAGGCCAAAACACAAACGAGGAAGAGAUCUAAUUAGAAAUUCAAAAUGAAGAACACAGUGUUAUCAGCCAAAUCAUUGUUAUCCAUACACAGUUUAUGCUUGUUUAAUAAUUCCAGAAGGCACAGUUGAAGGAAACCAUGGUUUAGAAACAAGCCUGGUGCAUCCAAACAAAUUACACUUUAUUGCAAAACUUGCUACACUACAUAAAUGCUUGCUCCGAAUCUUCAAUAUGAAACUUCAAAAUGGCAAGAAAAAGGAGUUCAACUCACUCCUCUGAUUGCCUUUGCCCUAAAACUGGAAUGUCUUCAUAACGCUUCUGUAACAGAGAAUAAAAGGAUCAAAAUUCAUAUCAGAGGUAACAAAAGUAAUGAGAUGGAGCAGCAACCAGGUAAUGCAGUCAAGGUUCAUAAGUUGACGGGUUCAUGAGUUGAGUUUCCUUCAGCCUAAUAGUUGGCUCCAGUGGUUGGAAAAUUGUCUAAUGUGAUUGAUAAUAAAUUGGAUAAAAACAGUGCAAGUGCAUCAGUGUAUACACAAAACAAAUCAAAAUCAAGAUUGCAAUACAAAUUGAGUAAAUAUCAUCUGUGUAUGUGUGUAGAUGUGAACAUCACAAAUUGAGUACGAUAUUUAAAACAAAUAGAUUUUGCAGUGCACAAAGUACCGUUUAGGCACUCUUGAAAAUGUUGUAUCCAAACUCACAACGAUGAGUGGCGGAAAAUAACAGAUAACAGGACUUCUAGUUUGAAUUUCAUAAUGGCAAAAGAAGACAGCGAUGACGUGUAUAACUGAUUUUCAAGAAAACUUUGGAAUGAUAUUAAUACAAGAGGCACCCACAAAAUAAAACUACAUUUUAAAGUGAAGUUUAUUGGGGGAAUUCAAUUGGAAUAUAACCACUUCUCUAAAUUUUAAAUUUAAAUUGCAACUGGAAUGAAGCAGCAACAUCCUACUUUUGGUUCUUCAUGUAAAUACACUCUACUAAGCAAUGUAACCAAAAUUUUAAAUUUUUUAAAUUAGAAAAUUUGUUUCAUCCGAAACAAGAAAUGAGUUAGUAAUGACCUACAAAAUUGGACAAUUUAAAGGGCCAUUCAACAUUUCUGAAACAACUUCAUGAUGAUCCUUUCCCAAAAAGGCCCUCAUGCACCAAAAUUCAAAAGUGCAAUAAGUUAGAGAUGGGGGAAAUUUGUUUACUUGUUUCUACAAUCAAGGCCUUAAAAUUGCAACCUUGAAAGUCUGAAACCAUUAUGGCAGUUAAAAUAAAUUAGUUCCAAAACAACAGCAGGGAGGCAGGGACAUUACAAAUUAGUCAUGACCAAUGUAUCCUAUUAUUGUGCCUUAUUUUCAAAGUGAUCCCCACCGUAACGGCAUGCACUCAAAAGUUAUUAUGAAGUUUAUAAGUCAAAAGUCCUGUAAAGUUAAUUAGAAAGUUAAUACACUAGGAAUCAGAAGUCCUAUAGUGCUACUACACUGCUCCAGCUAACAAAAACCAUAGUCUAACUCUUGAUGAGUGUUAUGAACCAAGCGAGUGAGAAUGCCCAACACUCACUGAAAACUAAAGCUGAUAAUGACAAGAAAGUAAGGAAGUCUCUGAUAUCUACUUGACAAGUAAACAAGAUUAGGAAGUCUCCUGCAAAAAACUGAUGGCAAUGCAUAACAUGGUCCUACAUUUGUACCGUAGAAGAAAAAAAAAUUGCCCAACUAGAUUGCUGUUACUAGAUGAACUCCACAUUUUAUCAUCAUUCCAUCAGAGGAUAUUUCCUUGGCUAAUGAGCAACGUACAGAAGUGUGGAUAGCUGUGGAAAAUAUUAUAUAUCAUUUAUAUAAUUAUAUCAAUAUAUUGUUAAGGUUCUUAUCUGUUAAAUACAAAGCCUAGAUGGUUCACACAUUCGCAUCAAAUCAGGAAAACUUAACAUAAAUAAGGAAUAUAGGAGAGCAGAAAUACCCCAACAUUGUUGUAUUCCCAAAUCUUACGAACUCCAUAAUCCACAGCCUACAACCAGCAAAUCAAUUGCGACAUAAGUUGGACAUAUCAUAAGAAACUAAAGAUGCAUAAUGUGACUGCCACAAAUAUUUAGCUAAAUCAAAUACUAAACAAGGCUCCCUUUAUACCUUUCACAAAGAAGCACACAGUAUUCAGCAUCAAUAUCAUUCAAUUUCUCUUCUUGAUUUUGAAUCCCAUAUAAAAUACUCAAGAAAUUUAACCCCACAGCUAGAAAACAGAGAACAACUAGAAGAAAAUCUCUGUAAACAGAAUUUCCAUACCAAUCAAUAAAAAAAAAAAGAAAAAAAAGUCUAUUAUGUGAUUUUGGGUACAGCGAAACAACGAUAAUAUCCAACAUUUCUGAUUCCAGAUUUCAAAUCAACAAAACACAUGGCCGAUCUAAGAGACAUAAAAUAAAUAUAAUGAAAUCCAAGUACCAAAAUUAACAGAAUAAACACAACAGCGCCCAACUCCCUUUAGAAAUCAAGAUCAAACCAAGUCCAAUUUUAAACCAAGCAUUUGAGAAUAAUAACAACAAGGCUAGACCGGGUGAUCAAAUAUAGCGAAACGAGUUAUUCAGAUUAAAAACUCCACAUUCUUACCCGUUCACCGGCGAAAGCUCCGGCGAUGACGAAGGUGACGUAGAUGGAGUUGCGGCGCAUAAUCAGCCUGUAUAGACCUUCAAAGAGGCCGCCUUGACUUCUUCGAGUGGUAUGCUCCAUGGCGAUCGGCUUCGAUAUCGUGCGUCGGAUCUGAGCUCUAGGGCUUGCAGAGGGCAACCAAAAAAAUGGAGAUGCUGCUUGUGAAUCGUAACGAUGAUGGUAUAUUGGUAUUGGAUGCCGAUAGAUGAAACCGGGUCAUUCAACGGGUCAACCCGAUUACGCGGGGCUACAAACGAUUAGU